rnacentral:rRNA from 1 species
AUGGAGGCGGAAAAGAGCCUUCAGGAGGCGACGGGUCUUGAUGCUGAGAAGGCAAAGGGAACUGUGAUCGUUCCUGGGAGCUCGGCUGGUUUGCUCGCCGAUCGGGACCUCUCCACCAACAUCCAGCGCCCAGGGAAGGAGAUAGCCAAGGUCUGUUCGGGACCUGUGAAGAAGACCCUUGUCAUCAACAUGUCGGGUGCUCGAAAUGCGGUGCAGACGCGUUUCCUGGCGGUCGGAUUGUUCCUUCCCGUUCUGCUGGUGAACUCCAGGCAACUGAUCGACCACAUGAAGAAGGUUUGGAAGGUACGUGGGGAACUAGAUGACCAUGAGCUGGUUGCAGGGGAAGGGCGGAAGUUCAUCCUAGAGUUCUCGGAGGAUGGAGACAGGCAACACGUUAUCAAGGGCGGGCCAUGGCAAUUCAAGGGCGACGCGUUCCUGGUCGUCGGCCUGGACAAGGAAGCUGAUCCUGCGUCCGCAGUCUUUUCCCAUAUGCCGAUGUGGGUUCAGUUCAGGGGAAUCCCCUUCUACCUCCUCACCAAGGAGCUUGCUCGCAGCCUGGGGGACCAGGUUGGGCCGGUGGUGAUGAUCGAUCCUCACUCGAGGGGCAACAUCUGCGACAAGUUCCUCAGAGUGAGAGUGCAGCUGCCUUUGUACUCUGCUCUGCAGAAGGAGAUUACGCUAGCUGAUGAGAUCACUGACGAAGAGGUUACUGUCCACCUAAGGUAUGAAAGAUUGCCAAAUUUCUGUUUGUUCUGCGGAUAUAUAGGGCAUAUGGAAGCAAGGUGUGAUGUACCAAUUGCUGAGAAGAAGUUGAAGUAUAGUAAGGAACUCGGUGUAUUCCCGGUCCACUUUGAUGACCCUCGUACUUGGUUCCUGCCAGAGAAGAUGGGGCAAAAACAGGGUUCCCAGUCAUCACCCCCCUUGUGGCGUGCUCCCAAGCCUGCGAGCCACGACAAGACUGUGCUGACUGUAGUGGAACAGAUGCGGGAAAGUGUUGCUCGCCUCUCAGUGGGUGACGCGAUGGGAACUGACAUAAACCUGAAGGUAACAGCGGCUACAUCAAGCGAAAUCCAGAACAAGGCAAACCUGAGAGCUGAGGAAAUUGACACAAACAAUGCGUCAGCUUCAAAUGUGAAUCCCCCCAUUGUCUCCACCAACCUGAAGACGAUCGACAACACCACCACUUUGUCCACCACCGAGAACAAUAUCACUGUUUCAAUGGACAUGGUGGUGGGCAAGAUGGCGGAACAUGACACUGCGAAGAAGGUGCCUGAUGGUUAUAAGGAGAUGGAUGGGGAUGAUUAUGCUAUGGCGGCGCUCGACCCCAAGGUCGUGGGGGAGUUUGGAACAGGGACUAGCGGCGACCCCAACAAGAAGCAGAAAUUCAAGGACCUCCAGCAAGUUGUCCCUGGAAAUACCAUGAUUCUCCCAGCUGAAACCAUGGUGUCUGCUAAUGACUCCAUCGCUCCUCUUGUGUUCAACCCGGGGGAAGGCCAUGGACCUAUGAUAACAAACAAGGGGGUGAUAGAAAUGGACGACAUUGUGCAUGACAAAGGAAAAGCAAAGGUGUCUGACUCAGUCCUAUUCCUGAAGAAUUAUUGGGAAACUCUGAAUUCAAACAGUCAAAGUAGAGGUGAUGUGAAAGGGAAAAAACCUCUGUACGAUGUACAAAUGCAAUCGCCCACUGCUCAGGAAUUGAAGCCGACCAUCCGCUGGUCCAGACCACAAGGUGAUUGCAUUAAGCUUAACAUUGAUGCUUCCUUUAUUUCAGCUUUGAAUGCAGCAUGGGCAGGGGCAGUCGCCAGGGACAGCACCAGAGCAGUUGUCUUCUCUGUAGGCCGUCAGCUUCAUUCUUGUGCUGAUGUAGAGGAAGCUGAAGCUAAUGCACUGCUGAUUGGUCUUAUGUGUUUAAGGGAUUUAAACAAGGAACAUGUGCAGGUGGAAUCGGACUGUGCCGCAGUUGUCGCGGCUGUAAAUGCAAAAGAAAGGAACAAUGCAAAGUGGUGGACUACUUAUGAGGAAGCAAAGCUGUGUAUGCCUGAAUUCAGUUUGUGCAAGCUAGCCUCCUUGCAACUAAUGGCUUCGCCAAGUGCUGCUGCUGUCUUGGCCGUGCUUGUGGUCGUGCUGUUGGGAAUGGGAUGCCAGGCCGGGGCGACCAUAGCAUGCAGCGACUGCGCGUUGCAGUGCAGCUUGUCAUGCAGCGCUGGCAACUUCCCUUGCAGCAGCGACUGCAGCCCAAUCCCGACGUGCGUGGAGCACUGCAAGGCCACAGAGGUCCCCAAGUGCGUGGACGGCUGCUCACGUAGCUGCAACAGGAGCUGCCCGAGCGGGGGGUGCAACUGCGCUACUGCCUGUGAUGGCUGCCACAGCGGCGUCGAGAUCCAGUGCAAGAGGAACUGUACCAAUUCGAAGUCGUGCAACGCCUGCAAGGACAACUACUCCCGUCAGUGCAACGUCUGCUGCACCUCCUACUGCAACAAAAACUGUGCCUGA